rnacentral:rRNA from 1 species
AUUGAACGCUGGCGGCAGGCCUAACACAUGCAAGUCGAGCGGAUGAAGGGAGCUUGCUCCUGGAUUCAGCGGCGGACGGGUGAGUAAUGCCUAGGAAUCUGCCUGGUAGUGGGGGAUAACGUCCGGAAACGGGCGCUAAUACCGCAUACGUCCUGAGGGAGAAAGUGGGGGAUCUUCGGAUCUCACGCUAUCAGAUGAGCCUAAGUCGGAUUAGCUAGUUGGUGGGGUAAAGGCCUACCAAGGCGACGAUCCGUAACUGGUCUGAGAGGAUGAUCAGUCACACUGGAACUGAGACACGGUCCAGACUCCUACGGGAGGCAGCAGUGGGGAAUAUUGGACAAUGGGCGAAAGCCUGAUCCAGCCAUGCCGCGUGUGUGAAGAAGGUCUUCGGAUUGUAAAGCACUUUAAGUUGGGAGGAAGGGCAGUAAGUUAAUACCUUGCUGUUUUGACGUUACCAACAGAAUAAGCACCGGCUAACUUCGUG